GAUGAACGCUGGCGGCGUGCCUAAUACAUGCAAGUCGAGCGAACAGAUGAGGAGCUUGCUCCUCUGACGUUAGCGGCGGACGGGUGAGUAACACGUGGAUAACCUACCUAUAAGACUGGGAUAACUUCGGGAAACCGGAGCUAAUACCGGAUAAUAUAUUGAACCGCAUGGUUCAAUAGUGAAAGACGGUUUUGCUUUCACUUAUAGAUGGAUCCGCGCCGCAUUAGCUAGUUGGUAAGGUAACGGCUUACCAAGGCAACGAUGCGUAGCCGACCUGAGAGGGUGAUCGGCCACACUGGAACUGAGACACGGUCCAGACUCCUACGGGAGGCAGCAGUAGGGAAUCUUCCGCAAUGGGCGAAAGCCUGACGGAGCAACGCCGCGUGAGUGAUGAAGGUCUUCGGAUCGUAAAACUCUGUUAUUAGGGAAGAACAAAUGUGUAAGUAACUAUGAACGUCUUGACGGUACCUAAUCAGAAAGCCACGGCUAACUACGUG
rnacentral:rRNA from 1 species